AAGGAAAAGUGCUGUCCACUUCCACUGUUAAGACCCAUGUCUACCAUACAGUGGGCACUCAUUAAAUGCUUGCUGGACUGACAGAACCUGAUCAGAAUGAUUUUUUUUCACACUUCUGUUCAACUGCAGUUCCCAGAAGAUGUGUAUGGAUAUGCAUUUGCUUUCGUUUAUACACCUGGUUUUGGGUCACUUUUCAAUAAAUCUGGAAGACUCCUGGCCAUCAUCUUCCUAAGUGUUAACUCCACAAGAUUGCUGCUCAAACUUCCAUCUCUGAGUCUGUGUCCUGAGGAAACUAAUUCAAUUGAAGACACAACCCUGUGGGUGGAGGACAUGUAGGUUCUCCCUUGGGCCUCGCCCACCUGCUUCCUCACAGUAGACAUUCAGAAAUGCCUGUGGAGUGGAUCCAUGAAUGACGACAGAGCUGCUUGAAUCUGACCUGCUCAGUUUUCCCAAUCUAUACCAUUUUCCUGAUUUUUACUAACUAGGCUUGGACUUUCAAAGCCUGAGAAAUUAAUCUUGAGCCCAGGAUUGACAUGCUCCCUCAGGCAACUUUUGUCUCUCAGAACCCAUUAAACUGAGCCGGCUGUCUUUUGGGAGGUGGAAAGGCAGAUUGAUGGAGAAGACCACAUCUGGAGAAUCUAUAGUAGGAUGAGGGUGUGCUCCUCCCAGGACGUGCUCCUCCCAGGAUGUGCUCCUCCCUGGAUGUGCUCCUCCCAGGAUGUGCUCCUCCCAGGACGUGCUCCUCCCAGGAUGUGCUCCUCCCAGGACGUGCUCCUCCCAGGACGUGCUUUUCCCAGGACGUGCUCCUCCCAGGUCGUGCUCUUCCCAGGAUGUGCUCCUCCUAGGACGUGCUUUUUCCAGGACGUGCUCCUCCUAGGAUGUGCUCCUCCCAGGUCGUGCUCUUCCCAGGACGUGCUCCUCCCAGGAUGUGCUCCUCCCAGGACGUGCUCAUCCCAGGUCGUGCUCUUCCCAGGAUGUGCUCCUCCCAGAAUGUGCUCCUCCCAGGACGUGCUCCUUCCAGGAUGUGCUCCUCCUAGGAUGUGCUCCUUCCAGGAUGUGCUGCCUCUCCACAUGACCAGAGAACUAGGGCUACUUGACCAUGGAUUGAAACCUACAAGAGUAUAAUCAAAAGUCAACCUCUCCAUUUUCAAAGUUUAUUAUCAUAGAUACUUUUUCAUAGUGAUGGGAUGCUAACUAAUUCAUUCAUUGAUGACUUUUAAAAGUGUGAGUAGAAUUGGAACAGGGAAGAAGGGGUCUAAGUGUGCAACAUUUUUAUAAAAAAAUCAAUACGUUUUUUUUUCUUAAGUGUGAGAUGGAUGCAAGACUGCCAAAACAGCCUCUUGUAGUUGAAGGAGAAAUAUUUCACACUGUUUCACAGUAUAUAAAAAUUUCAAAUUGGUUAUUCCUAGUGUCCAUGCAAGGAGAUCUCUUGUGAGAAUGACAGACUCUGUGUGUGGACACAGAGAAAAGGAGAGUCAACACAAUCACCCUAGAUCCCACCCAUUCCUGACUAAAUGCUAUAUGAGAUCAUAAAGUUCCUUAUUAUUGAAACAGAUCAAAUUGAGAUUCUCUACUACAUGGGUCAGAGCACCUUAUUUGGUAUAUACCUAA